rnacentral:rRNA from 1 species
AUUGAACGCUGGCGGCAUGCUUUACACAUGCAAGUCGAACGGCAGCGCGGGGGCAACCCUGGCGGCGAGUGGCGAACGGGUGAGUAAUGUAUCGGAACGUAUCCUGUAAUGGGGGAUAACCAGUCGAAAGAUUGGGUAAUACCGCAUACGCACGAGAGUGGAAAGUAGGGGAUCGCAAGACCUUACGUUAUAGGAGCGGCCGAUAUCUGAUUAGCUAGUUGGUGGGGUAAUGGCCUACCAAGCCGACGAUCCAUAGCUGGUUUGAGAGGAUGAUCAGCCACACUGGGACUGAGACACGGCCCAGACUCCUACGGGAGGCAGCAGUGGGGAAUCUUAGACAAUGGGCGCAAGCCUGAUCUAGCCAUGCCGCGUGAGCGAUGAAGGCCUUAGGGUUGUAAAGCUCUUUCGUGGGGGAAGAUAAUGACUGUACCCCAAGAAGAAGCCCCGGCUAACUCCGUG